rnacentral:rRNA from 1 species
CACGUAGGGCGCAAGCGUUGUCCGGAAUUAUUGGGCGUAAAGAGCUCGUAGGUGGUUUGUUACGUCUGCUGUGAAAACCUAGGGCUUAACCCUGGGCUUGCAGUGGAUACGGGCAGACUAGAGGUAGGUAGGGGAGAAUGGAAUUCCUGGUGUAGCGGUGAAAUGCGCAGAUAUCAGGAGGAACACCAGCGGCGAAGGCGCCGCUCUGGGCCGUAACUGACGCUGAGGAGCGAAAGCAUGGGUAGCAAACAGG